rnacentral:rRNA from 1 species
UUACGGGAGGCAGCAGUGGGGAAUCUUGCACAAUGGAGGAAACUCUGAUGCAGCGAUGCCGCGUGAGUGAAGAAGGCCUUUGGGUUGUAAAGCUCUUUUGUAGGGGAAGAUAAUGACUGUACCCUAAGAAUAAGGUCCGGCUAACUUCGUGCCAGCAGCCGCGGUAAUA